rnacentral:rRNA from 1 species
CGAUCCAGCAAUGCCGCGUGAGUGAGGAAGGCCUUAGGGUUGUAAAGCUCUUUCGUGCGCGACGAUGAUGACGGUAGCGCAAGAAGAAGCCCCGGCUAACUCCGUGCCAGCAGCCGCGGUAAUACGGAGGGGGCUAGCGUUGUUCGGAAUUACUGGGCGUAAAGGGCGCGUAGGCGGUCUUGCAAGUUGGAUGUGAAAGCCCCGGGCUUAACCUGGGAACUGCAUUCGAUACUGCAAGGCUGGAGUUCGGGAGAGGAUGGUGGAAUUCCUAGUGUAGAGGUGGAAUUCGUAGAUAUUAGGAAGAACACCAGUGGCGAAGGCGGCCAUCUGGCCCGCAACUGACGCUGAGGCGCGAAAGCGUGGGGAGCAAACAGGAUUAGAUACCCUGGUAGUCCACGCCGUAAACGAUGAGUGCUAGACGUUGGAGAGCAAUCUUCAGUGUCGCAGCUAACGCAUUAAGCACUCCGCCUGGGAAGUACGGUCGCAAGAUUA